rnacentral:rRNA from 1 species
AGAACGAACGCUGGCGGCAGGCCUCAAACAUGCAAGUCUAGGGGGUGUAGCAAUACAUCACCGGCGGACGGGUGCGUAACACGUGGGAAUAUACCUUUCGGUACGGAACAACUGCGGGAAACUGCAGCUAAUACCGUAUACGUCCUUACGGAGAAAGAUUUAUCGCCGAAGGAUUAGCCCGCGUUCGAUUAGCUAGUUGGUGAGGUAAUGGCUCACCAAGGCGACGAUCGAUAGCUGUUCUGAGAGGAAGAUCAGCCACACUGGGACUGAGACACGGCCCAGACUCCUACGGGAGGCAGCAGUUGGGAAUCUUGGACAAUGGGGGAAACCCUGAUCCAGCCAUGCCGCGUGAGUGAUGAAGGCCUUCGGGUUGUAAAACUCUUUCGACGGGGACGAUAAUGACGGUACCGUAGAAGAGCUCCGGCUAACUUCGUGCCAGCAGCCGC